CUUGACCUCAUUAUAUGAAGUAGAGAUUCCAGACUGUGAUGGAAGAUUCCAGAAGAAGAGACCACAAGACUAACACAAGUGAGCAUCGUAUAACAUGUCUAUACAUCACGCCAGAAAGCCCAACACCUGGGUGUGUUGGAAAGGCUUGGAGGACCCUGUGAUGACCAAGGCCAUUUGAAAUGCCUUGGUAUGAGAGGCAGAGGCAUCCCUGAGAAGUUCCACAGUGGUGGGGUCCUCUGUAAUCAAGGCCGAUGCUGCAGACUCCAUGCCAGACACUGCCUCUCUCCUCGAGCGGACUCGGACCAGCUUCUGAUACAUGGAUUGUAGCUACUGAUGUGCAGAAUGCGUGGUUUUUGGAUACCUGUCAGGGGAAGGGAUCAGAAAGAGCGUGCAUUCGCAGGGGAUGGACAACAGCUUUGUCACUCACAGUACACUCACAGCUUUUCCCCA